GCCGGAUUGAAAUCUCUCAUCCGACCGCAACCAUCAUCUUACAAAACACUCGCCGAGGAUCGCAGACGAACGGUGGAUCGUCUGUGAAGAUGCUGAUAUACUGACUAGGAGAACAUUUUCAUAAACGAUGGGGAAACCGAAAGGAUCGUCCGUCCUCGGCGAAAUGCCGGAUUCGAAACGGAGCAGAGGAAAGACAGAGGAUGGUAUAGCAAUCACAGUAAAAAUGUAUGAAAACAGAAAGCUGCGAGACAAACAUAUUCAAAUAGAAGUCCUAAUUUAAGCGCGUAUUGAGAUAGUAUAAAGAUAGAGGGAAGGAAAGAUAGAGAGGGAGAGACGUAGAGUACUGAUGUUCAAAGUACAAGCAGUAUUCGAAUCACACGCUCGGCGAGGAUGAACAACCGCAUUUCCGCGGCGAUGGAAAAUUUUCAUUCAAAUUACCGCAUCGAACAGCCUCUAAAAUUAUUGGAGAUUAAUAUUGAUGAAUGGUCCGCUCAAUUAUGCCAAUUAAAGAGAUAAUAUUUUCAAAAAGCAUCUGGAUGAAUUGUAUUAAUAAUCAUAAAAUCACAAGAAGAAAUUUGACAUAGUAGCAAGGAUAAUUUCAACAGAUAUGUAUUAAACUAGUCAUUUCCUUUGACGAAUGAACACGUAACAUUCCUGUUGCGAAUCAACGAUUGGAUCUAAAUUCGUUCGAAAACAAACUUUCAAAUAUCGCAGUGAGCGCUAACCGAAUGGAUCCGAGAAAAACCAUGUGCCACUUCAUUCAUUUUUAAGGACCACUCGUAAAGGAGAUGUGAAAUCCGAAAAAUACAAUUGAUGCUUUUGAGCCAAUAUCAACUAAUACAUCGCAAUUCAUCUUAACAGGAAGGACAUUUCACUCGCGAUAAUGCAAUUUUAAUUGCAAAGUGUAAGUAUUUAUAUGUGUAUUGCAAUGUUAAAUUUGCGUGCAAAUAGCUACUUAUGUAUAUAUAAACUGCUAGUGUAGCGUGUGUAAAGAAGACUCAUUAAUUUAAUCGAAAGAAAAAAGCGAGGUCCAAUCUAACAAAGGAUAUAUAAAGAAUAUAGUUCUUUAAUAAAACAAUA